UCCAGGCUGUUGUGUGUUGAGAGCGAAGAGGGGAAUGGCAAGUCCCACCUCCAGUGAGGCGGAGAGCUAAUCUCUGACGCUUAGACCAAACAACCUUGGUCUCCACAGGCAUUUCCACCAAAGUCAGGGCACACAGGAGGGUUAAGAGGCAUACCGCCUCUUAGAGGAUACAGCAUCGGUGGAUUCCACGCAGAAGGAUAUUAUGAAAGUUUUACUUGUUGUAAUACUGCUGUGCUGCUGGGAGAAUACAUGGGAAGAACAAGGUCAGAGAGAGCAACACUGCCAUGCUGUGGGGGUGCAGAGCUGUGAUGAAUGUCUGAGGUCGGGGCCGCACUGUGCCUGGUGUGUA